rnacentral:lncRNA from 1 species
GUGUUGUAUGAGGUUGUCAAUGACUAAUGAUUAAGUUGUAUGUGAUGUUCACAGGUACCAUACGGAUUUCUUCUUCUCCUACUAACGAAGAUGAGCGGACGAAUAUCGAGUCAAGAGCAAGGAUUGUACGGGAAGGAUCGGUCACAUAGUUUAACAAAUGAGUCAUGUCAACAAGAGCACAAACGAGGAAGUGUCACGGGUCGAAGGUAAACAUGGAAGCUAUGUGCAAAUUCGGACGCAUGAG